rnacentral:rRNA from 1 species
GACGUAGGGCGCGAGCGUUGUCCGGAUUUAUUGGGCGUAAAGAGCUCGUAGGCGGCUUGUUGCGUCGACUGUGAAAACCCGCGGCUUAACCGCGGGCCUGCAGUGGGUACGGGCAGACUAGAGUGUGGUAGGGGAGACUGGAAUUCCUGGUGUAGCGGUGAAAUGCGCAGAUAUCAGGAGGAACACCGAUGGCGAAGGCAGGUCUCUGGGCCACUACUGACGCUGAGAAGCGAAAGCAUGGGGAGCGAACAGG